CCUGCUUAAACAUAUAACGUUACAACAUAGCAGGUAAGCCUCUACAGACAGCUGAAACAUAUAACGUUACAACAUAGCAGGUAAGCCUCUACAGCCAGCUGGAACAUAUAACGUUACAACAUAGCAGGUAAGCCUCUACAGCCAGCUGAAACAUGAAAUGUUACAACAUAGCAGGUAAGCCUCUACAGCCAGCUGGAACAUGAAACGUUACAACAUAGCAGGUAAGCCUCUACAGCCAGCUGAAACAUAUAACGUUACAACAUAGCAGGUAAGCCCCUACGGCCAGCUGGAACAUGAAAUGUUACAACAUAGCAGGUAAGCCUCUACAGCCAGCUGAAACAUGAAACGUUACAACAUAGCAGGUAAGCCUCUACAGCCUGCUUAAACAUAUAACGUUACAACAUAGCAGGUAAGCCUCUACAGACAGCUGAAACAUAUAACGUUACAACAUAGCAGGUAAGCCUCUACAGCCAGCUGGAACAUAUAACGUUACAACAUAGCAGGUAAGCCUCUACAGCCAGCUGAAACAUGAAACGUUACAACAUAGCAGGUAAGCCUCUACAGCCAGCUGAAACAUGAAACGUUACAACAUAGCAGGUAAGCCUCUUACAGCCAGCUGAAACAUAUAACGUUACAACAUAGCAGGUAAGCCUCUACAGCCAGCUGAAACAUAUAACGUUACAACAUAGCAGGUAAGCCUCUACAGCCUGCUUAAACAUAUAACGUUACAACAUAGCAGGUAAGCCUCUACAGACAGCUGAAACAUAUAACGUUACAACAUAGCAGGUAAGCCUCUACAGCCAGCUGGAACAUAUAACGUUACAACAUAGCAGGUAAGCCUCUACAGCCAGCUGAAACAUGAAACGUUACAACAUAGCAGGUAAGCCUCUACAGCCAGCUGAAACAUGAAACGUUACAACAUAGCAGGUAAGCCUCUACAGCCAGCUGAAACAUGAAACAUUACAACAUAGCAAGUAAGCCUCUACAGCCAGCUGAAACAUAUAACGUUACAACAUAGCAGGUAAGCCUCUACAGCCAGCUGGAACAUGAAACGUUACAACAUAGCAGGUAAGCCUCUACAGCCAGCUGAAACAUAUAACGUUACAACAUAGCAGGUAAGCCCCUACGGCCAGCUGGAACAUGAAAUGUUACAACAUAGCAGGUAAGCCUCUACAGCCAGCUGAAACAUGAAACGUUACAACAUAGCAGGUAAGCCUCUACAGCCAGCUGGAACAUGAAACGUUACAACAUAGCAGGUAAGCCUCUACAGCCAGCUGAAACAUAUAACGUUACAACAUAGCAGGUAAGCCCCUACGGCCAGCUGGAACAUGAAAUGUUACAACAUAGCAGGUAAGCCUCUACAGCCAGCUGAAACAUGAAAUGUUACAACAUAGCAGGUAAGCCUCUACAGCCAGCUGAAACAUGAAAUGUUACAACAUAGCAGGUAAGCCCCUACAGCCUGCUUAAACAUAUAACGUUACAACAUAGCAGGUAAGCCUCUACAGCCAGCUGAAACAUGAAAUGUUACAACAUAGCAGGUAAGCCUCUACAGCCAGCUGAAACAUGAAAUGUUACAACAUAGCAGGUAAGCCUCUACAGCCAGCUGAAACAUGAAACGUUACAACACAGCAUUCAUUUUCUCUCCCUCCUUCCUUCCUACAUCCCGGCCGGCUGGCACUCUGUCGUGCUCCAACUCCCUCACUCCCUCUCUCCCUCACUCCCUCUCUCCCUCACUCCCUCACUCCCUCUCUCCCUCACUCCCUCACUCCCUCUCUACUUCUUUCCAUCUCCCCUAUGCUCUUUCUCUCAUCCUCAGAAGCGGAGGGCUGCCAUUUUGCUUGCAUGCAAAGGGACUAAUGCCUUUGGCUAUCAUAACGUUCAUAGUGCUCUUUUCUGCCUCCCAAAUGGCACCCUGUGGGUCCUGGCCUAAAGUAGUGCAUUAAACAGGGGGUACGGUGUCAUUUGGGACGCAGACAUCAUGUUGAGAUGAAUGCUGAGUAGCUCUGUGCAGACAGACAGACAGACAGACAGACAGACAGACAGACAGACAGACAGACAGACAGACAGACAGACAGACAGACAGACAGGGGUGAGUGUGGAAGGGGACGUUCGGGGACUUACUUUCCGUCCGUUCUUUAGACAGGUAUGUCUGUGAUGAUGUCAAAUACACUAUCAUUCCCAUAAUACAGCCAGAGACAUGAGCUCUGUUCAGUCACUUUCAGCAGAAUAGUUGUUAGCUAUUCUUGUUGUUAUUGUUGUUUAGUGAACGACAACAACAGUUGAUGCAAGUUUGGAUAUGCCAGAAGGUCUUGAUUCAGUAAUGCCCCAGAAACACAUCUCUUAGAGUUGGAAGGUGAUCGCUGGGCACAAUGGAAGGCUGUUUCUAUACUGAAGGGGUUUGUUUGUUGUCACACAACAGACUUAACAGGCAGACUAACAGAGGAUGGAUGGAUGGAUGGAUGGAUGGAUGGAUGGAUGGAUGGAUGGAAUCUACAACCACGUGAACACUCUAGAACCAUUUGAACACUCUAGAACCAUAUGAAAAAUUUAGAACCAUGUGAACACUCUAGAACCAUGUGACCACUCUAGAACCAUGUGAACAUUCUAGAACCAUAUGACUGCUCUAGAACGAUGUGAACACUCUAGAACCAUGUGAACAUUCUAGAACCAUGUGACCACUCUAGAACCAUGUGAACACUCUAGAACCAUGUGACCACUCUAGAACCAUGUGAACAUUCUAGAACCAUAUGACUGCUCUAGAACCAUGUGAACAUUCUAGAACCAUGUGAACACUCUAGAACCAUGUGACCACUCUAGAACCUUUUGAACAUUCUUGAACCAUGUGACCGCUCUAGAACCAUGUGAAUACUCUAGAACCAUGUGAACAUUCUAGAACCAUGUGACUGCUCUACAACCAUGUGAACACUCUAGAACCAUGUGAACACUCUAGAACCAUGUGAACACUCUAGAACCAUGUGACCGCUCUACAACCAUGUGAACACUCUAGAACCAUGUGACCACUCUAGAACCAUGUGAACAUUCUAGAACCAUAUGACUGCUCUAGAACCAUGUGAACACUAGAACCAUGUGAACAUUCUAGAACCAUGUGACCACUCUAGAACCAUGUGAACACUCUAGAACCAUGUGACCGCUCUAGAACCAUGUGAACUCUCUAGAACCAUGUGAUUGCUCUACAACCAUGUGAACACUCUAGAACCAUGUGAACACUCUAGAACGUGGCCUCUGUUGAACUUCCCACAUCAGGGGUCAGUGGAUGCCAUUCCAUAUUUUGUUUCUGUCAAGUUCACUCUCUCACUCAUCUUCUUUCUCUCUCUCUCUCUCUCUCUCUCUCUCUCUCUCUCUCUCUCUCUCUCUCUCUCUCUCUCUCUCUCU